rnacentral:rRNA from 1 species
GAUGAACGCUGGCGGCGUGCCUAAUACAUGCAAGUCGAGCGAACAGACGAGGAGCUUGCUCCUCUGACGUUAGCGGCGGACGGGUGAGCAACACGUGGAUAACCUACCUAUAAGACUGGGAUAACUUCGGGAAACCGGAGCUAAUACCGGAUAAUAUAUUGAACCGCAUGGUUCAAUAGUGAAAGACGGUUUUGCUGUCACUUAUAGAUGGAUCCGCGCCGCAUUAGCUAGUUGGUAAGGUAACGGCUUACCAAGGCAACGAUGCGUAGCCGACCUGAGAGGGUGAUCGGCCACACUGGAACUGAGACACGGCCCAGACUCCUACGGGAGGCAGCAGUAGGGAAUCUUCCGCAAUGGGCGAAAGCCUGACGGAGCAACGCCGCGUGAGUGAUGAAGGUCUUCGGAUCGUAAAACUCUGUUAUUAGGGAAGAACAAAUGUGUAAGUAACUAUGCACGUCUUGACGGUACCUAAUCAGAAAGCCACGGCUAACUACGUG